rnacentral:lncRNA from 1 species
GACGUUUGGGCCUUUUCUUGAGCCAUGGGCUAACAGUAGGAGUCUCGGUCUCUUCUUCAUCCACAUCAACCACAUCUUCUUGAACCUGAAUGGCAGCAACCUCUUCCACUCCCGGCAUAACGGAUGUGGUACCAUCAACAUUAGCCUUAUCAAACAUAAUAUGCAUCAAGUCCAAGUUGUCCGGUGGUCCCUUGCGGAAUGCUUUAAUUGGCUUGUGAAG